UUAACGGUAUUGAAAUAUGGAAAAAUUACUGAUACUUCGCUCGAAAGGUAUGGUACGACCUUACUGCAACGAAUGUGAAUCCUUGGAAUGUGAAGACCUGGAACCUUUUUAUACCUAUCGCAGGAAUUUGGAUACCGACGACUCACGAACAUCCUCGGAACCAAUCGUUGAAUAAAAAUGCAAUUGGGAAAACUUAAUGAAAAUAGAGUUUUUUCUCAUGAAAACUAUCUCAAAACCGGGUAUGUCAAGGUGAAAACAGCGGGACAAAAGCUGGCCACAUGUGUACAAGAAAACCGGCUUUUUUGGAAAACCGCGCGAAACUGAAACAUGAUUUAUAUUAUAUUUUGCCACACCGGGCCUGCCCCUUCAUUUAACAGGGCUUCCCAAGUUUUAGGCAUUUGUGGUUCUUUAUUAUCCUAAGAAUAACCAGGGCUGAAAACAAUAAGGCCAGAGACUACAACAUAGUCAACGGAGAACUAGGCAUAACCUAUAAGAAAUCAAACCUUUCCAGGAUACUAUCAGACUAGAAACCCCUUUAAGUUGGUUUCUUUGUGAAUGCUUACUAUUAUAAACUCCUCAUUACUCACAGGUAAUGCUUAAAAUGUAUCUUUUUGUUAUGUAAAUUAUAUUUUUAGAGGUUAAAAUGUUAACGGAGCAAAAUUAUUUAACUUGUCUUAUAAAAGACUGCCUGGGAUUACCCUUAUUACUAUAAAAUAAAUACAAAAUCUUGUAACUUCGUUACACCAUAGUUAGUGCCUUAAUAAAUUUUUCUAUAUUAAUGUAAGAUGUUUGCUAGGUAAUAGUGGAAACCAGAGUAAAAUCGGAUCGAUU